CAUGCAAGUCGAGCGGUAGCACAGAGAGCUUGCUCUCGGGUGACGAGCGGCGGACGGGUGAGUAAUGUCUGGGAAACUGCCUGAUGGAGGGGGAUAACUACUGGAAACGGUAGCUAAUACCGCAUAACGUCGCAAGACCAAAGUGGGGGACCUUCGGGCCUCAUGCCAUCAGAUGUGCCCAGAUGGGAUUAGCUAGUAGGUGGGGUAACGGCUCACCUAGGCGACGAUCCCUAGCUGGUCUGAGAGGAUGACCAGCCACACUGGAACUGAGACACGGUCCAGACUCCUACGGGAGGCAGCAGUGGGGAAUAUUGCACAAUGGGCGCAAGCCUGAUGCAGCCAUGCCGCGUGUGUGAAGAAGGCCUUCGGGUUGUAAAGCACUUUCAGCGGGGAGGAAGGCGUUAAGGUUAAUAACCUUGGCGAUUGACGUUACCCGCAGAAGAAGCACCGGCUAACUCCGUGCCAGCAGCCGCGGUAAUACGGAGGGUGCAAGCGUUAAUCGGAAUUACUGGGCGUAAAGCGCACGCAGGCGGUCUGUCAAGUCGGAUGUGAAAUCCCCGGGCUCAACCUGGGAACUGCAUUCGAAACUGGCAGGCUAGAGUCUUGUAGAGGGGGGUAGAAUUCCAGGUGUAGCGGUGAAAUGCGUAGAGAUCUGGAGGAAUACCGGUGGCGAAGGCGGCCCCCUGGACAAAGACUGACGCUCA
rnacentral:rRNA from 1 species